GGGGAUAUAGCUCAGUGGUAGAGUAUAUGCCUAGCAUUCAUCAGGCCCUGGGUUCAAUCCCCAGNGUUGCAA
rnacentral:tRNA from 1 species